UUGAACGCUGGCGGCAGGCCUAACACAUGCAAGUCGAGCGGUAACACAGAGAGCUUGCUCUCGGGUGACGAGCGGCGGACGGGUGAGUAAUGUCUGGGAAACUGCCUGAUGGAGGGGGAUAACUACUGGAAACGGUAGCUAAUACCGCAUAACGUCGCAAGACCAAAGUGGGGGACCUUCGGGCCUCAUGCCAUCAGAUGUGCCCAGAUGGGAUUAGCUAGUAGGUGGGGUAACGGCUCACCUAGGCGACGAUCCCUAGCUGGUCUGAGAGGAUGACCAGCCACACUGGAACUGAGACACGGUCCAGACUCCUACGGGAGGCAGCAGUGGGGAAUAUUGCACAAUGGGCGCAAGCCUGAUGCAGCCAUGCCGCGUGUGUGAAGAAGGCCUUCGGGUUGUAAAGCACUUUCAGCGGGGAGGAAGGCGGUGAGGUUAAUAACCUCAUCGAUUGACGUUACCCGCAGAAGAAGCACCGGCUAACUCCGUGCCAGCAGCCGCGGUAAUACGGAGGGUGCAAGCGUUAAUCGGAAUUACUGGGCGUAAAGAGAAAGAAGGAGGUCUGUCAAGUCGGAUGUGAAAUCCCCGGGCUCAACCUGGGAACUGCAUUCGAAACUGGCAGGCUAGAGUCUUGUAGAGGGGGGUAGAAUUCCAGGUGUAGCGGUGAAAUGCGUAGAGAUCUGGAGGAAUACCGGUGGCGAAGGCGGCCCCCUGGACAAAGACUGACGCUCAGGUGCGAAAGCGUGGGGAGCAAACAGGAUUAGAUACCCUGGUAGUCCACGCCGUAAACGAUGUCGAUUUGGAGGGUGUGCCCUUGAGGCGUGGCUUCCGGAGCUAACGCGUUAAGUCGACCGCCUGGGGAGUACGGCCGCAAGGUUAAAACUCAAAUGAAUUGACGGGGGCCCGCACAAGCGGUGGAGCAUGUGGUUUAAUUCGAUGCAACGCGAAGAACCUUACCUGGUCUUGACAUCCACAGAACUUUCCAGAGAUGGAUUGGUGCCUUCGGGAACUGUGAGACAGGUGCUGCAUGGCUGUCGUCAGCUCGUGUUGUGAAAUGUUGGGUUAAGUCCCGCAACGAGCGCAACCCUUAUCCUUUGUUGCCAGCGGUUCGGCCGGGAACUCAAAGGAGACUGCCAGUGAUAAACUGGAGGAAGGUGGGGAUGACGUCAAGUCAUCAUGGCCCUUACGACCAGGGCUACACACGUGCUACAAUGGCAUAUACAAAGAGAAGCGACCUCGCGAGAGCAAGCGGACCUCAUAAAGUAUGUCGUAGUCCGGAUUGGAGUCUGCAACUCGACUCCAUGAAGUCGGAAUCGCUAGUAAUCGUAGAUCAGAAUGCUACGGUGAAUACGUUCCCGGGCCUUGUACACACCGCCCGUCACACCAUGGGAGUGGGUUGCAAAAGAAGUAGGUAGCUUAACCUUCGGGAGGGCGCUUACCACUUUGUGAUUCAUGACUGGGGUG
rnacentral:rRNA from 1 species